GGAUUCAGAGGAAAGAACAUACAGUUAUUGGUUGGUUUUAUAACCAAAGGAAAGGCAUACAUUUUAUGGUGAUACCGCUGAAGCACCUAAGAUGCAAGCAGUGGCUCUCACGUGGAGAAAUUACAAGAUGAAACAUCAAUUUUGGGCCAAGUUUGGUGGGGGCAGAUGAACAUGGCUUAGAAAAAGUUCUGCCUGGGUUCCUCUUUGCUUCCCUGUUUGCAUAUAUUUUUUACUGCACCCCCCACUCCUUACUUGUUAUUGUUUAUUUUUCAUUUUUAACUUAAUUCUUAUGCUUUUCGAGAAUGAGCAUUUAAGGUGUGUUUCUACAUUUAUUGUAUUAUUUUUUAGUGAGGAACAAAGAGUCAAAACAGCCGGGAAUCGAACCCGGGUCUCGAGUUGAAGAAUUUAUGGAUCAGAUUGUUUUGCUUAA